rnacentral:rRNA from 1 species
ACUACGAGCCAAGCUUAAAACCCAAAGGACUUGACGGUACCCCACAUCCCCCUAGAGGAGCCUGUCCUAUAAUCGAUAAUCCACGUUUAACCUCACCAUUUUUAGUUAAUCAGCCUGUAUACCUCCGUCGUCAGCUUACCACAUGAGCGUUAGUUAGUGAGCCCAAUGUAUUUCACCAAAACGUCAGGUCAAGGUGCAGUAAAUGAAAUGGGAACAGAUGGGCUACACUUUCUACCUUAGAAAAAACGAAAAACUACCUAUGAAAUCUAGUUAGAAGGCGGAUUUAGUAGUAAAAAGGAAUCAGCAUAUUCAUUUUAACCCGGCA